rnacentral:rRNA from 1 species
UACGUAGGGUGCAAGCGUUAUCCGGAUUCACUGGGUUUAAAGGGUGCGUAGGAGGGUAGGUAAGUCAGUGGUGAAAUCUUCGAGCUUAACUCGGAAACUGCCGUUGAUACUAUCUAUCUUGAAUACCGUGGAGGUGAGCGGAAUAUGUCAUGUAGCGGUGAAAUGCUUAGAUAUGACAUAGAACACCAAUUGCGAAGGCAGCUCGCUACACGAAUAUUGACUCUGAGGCACGAAAGCGUGGGGAUCAAACAGG